rnacentral:rRNA from 1 species
GGAGAGUUUGAUCCUGGCUCAGGAUGAACGCUAGCGGCAGGCUUAACACAUGCAAGUCGAGGGGCAACAUAAUGGUAGUAAUACUAUUGAUGGCGACCGGCGGACGGGUGCGUAACGCGUAUGCAACCUACCCUUUACAGGGGGAUAACACUGAGAAAUCGGUACUAAUACCCCAUAAUAUUCUGGGAGGCAUCUUUCGGAGUUGAAAGCUUUGGUGGUAAAGGAUGGGCAUGCGUUGUAUUAGCUAGUUGGUAAGGUAACGGCUUACCAAGGCGACGAUACAUAGGGGGACUGAGAGGUUAACCCCCCACAUUGGUACUGAGACACGGACCAAACUCCUACGGGAGGCAGCAGUGAGGAAUAUUGGUCAAUGGACGGAAGUCUGAACCAGCCAUGCCGCGUGCAGGAAGACGGCUCUAUGAGUUGUAAACUGCUUUUGUACGAGGGUAAACGCAGAUACGUGUAUCUGCCUGAAAGUAUCGUACGAAUAAGGAUCGGCUAACUCCGUGCCAGCAGCCGCGGUAAUACGGAGGAUCCAAGCGUUAUCCGGAUUUAUUGGGUUUAAAGGGUGCGUAGGCGGUUUAGUAAGUCAGCGGUGAAAUUUUGGUGCUUAACACCAAACGUGCCGUUGAUACUGCUGGGCUAGAGAGUAGUUGCGGUAGGCGGAAUGUAUGGUGUAGCGGUGAAAUGCUUAGAGAUCAUACAGAACACCGAUUGCGAAGGCAGCUUACCAAACUAUAUCUGACGUUGAGGCACGAAAGCGUGGGGAGCAAACAGGAUUAGAUACCCUGGUAGUCCACGCAGUAAACGAUGAUAGCUCGUUGUCGGCGAUACACAGUCGGUGACUAAGAGAAAUCGAUAAGCUAUCCACCUGGGGAGUACGUUCGCAAGAAUGAAACUCAAAGGAAUUGACGGGGGCCCGCACAAGCGGAGGAACAUGUGGUUUAAUUCGAUGAUACGCGAGGAACCUUACCCGGGCUUGAAAGUUACUGACGAUUCUGGAAACAGGAUUUCCCUUCGGGGCAGGAAACUAGGUGCUGCAUGGUUGUCGUCAGCUCGUGCCGUGAGGUGUCGGGUUAAGUCCCAUAACGAGCGCAACCC